AUUGAACGCUGGCGGCAGGCCUAACACAUGCAAGUCGAACGAGUGGCGGACGGGUGAGUAAUGUAUGGGAAACUGCCCGAAGGAGGGGGAUAACGACUGGAAACGGUAGAUAAUACCGCAUACCAGCGGAUGUGCCCAGAUGGGAGUAGCUAGUAGGUGGGGUAACGGCUCACCUAGGCGACGAUCCCUAGCUGGUCUGAGAGGAUGACCAGACAGACUGUGACUGAGACACGGCCCAGACUCCUACGGGAGGCAGCAGUAGGGAAUAUGGCACAAUGGGCGAAAGCCUGAUGAAGCCAUGCCGCGUGUAUGAAGAAGGCCUUCGGGUUGUAAAGUCCUUUCAGUGAGGAGGCGUUACUCGCAGAAGAAGCACCGGCUAACUCCGUGCCAGCAGCCGCGGUAAUAC
rnacentral:rRNA from 1 species